rnacentral:rRNA from 1 species
GGUCUUCCAUGCAGUCGAGCGAGGCGGGUAGCAAUACCCAGUCGAGCGGCGAACGGGUGAGUAACGCGUGGAUUAUCUACCCUGAGGUGGGGGAUAACCCGGCGAAAGCCGGGCUAAUACCGCAUAACAUCGAAAGAUCAAAGGGGGAGCAAUCUCCCGCCAUUGGAGGAGUCCGCGUCCGAUUAGCUAGUUGGUAGGGUAAUGGCCUACCAAGGCGACGAUCGGUAGCCGGCCUGAGAGGGUGAUCGGCCACACUGGAACUGAGACACGGUCCAGACUCCUACGGGAGGCAGCAGUGGGGAAUUUUGCGCAAUGGGCGAAAGCCUGACGCAGCAACGCCGCGUGGAGGAUGACGGUCCUUGGAUCGUAAACUCCUGUCAGCAGGGAAAAAGGGGACCGGGCUCAUACCCCGGUUCAUUGAUUGUACCUGCAGAGGAAGCCCCGGCUAACUCUGUGCCAGCAGCCGCGGUAAUGCAGAGGGGGCAAGCGUUAUUCGGAAUUAUUGGGCGUAAAGGGCGCGUAGGCGGCUUGACAAGUGGAAGGUGAAAUCCCUCGGCUUAACCGAGGAACUGCCCUCCAAACUGUUUUGCUUGAGGCCGGGAGAGGUGAGUGGAAUUCCCAGUGUAGCGGUGAAAUGCGUAGAUAUUGGGAGGAACACCAGUGGCGAAAGGCGGCUCACUGGACCGG